rnacentral:rRNA from 1 species
ACGUAGGGCGCAAGCGUUGUCCGGAAUUAUUGGGCGUAAAGAGCUCGUAGGCGGUUUGUCGCGUCUGCUGUGAAAGCCCGGGGCUCAACCCCGGGUCUGCAGUGGGUACGGGCAGACUAGAGUGCAGUAGGGGAGACUGGAAUUCCUGGUGUAGCGGUGAAAUGCGCAGAUAUCAGGAGGAACACCGAUGGCGAAGGCAGGUCUCUGGGCUGUAACUGACGCUGAGGAGCGAAAGCAUGGGGAGCGAACAGGA